GGUGAGUAACACGUAAACAACCUGCCUUCAGGAUGGGGACAACAGACGGAAACGACUGCUAAUACCGAAUACGCUUGGGAGACCGCAUGAUCUUCCAAGGAAAGGGUGGCCUCUACCUGUAAGCUAUCGCCUGAAGAGGGGUUUGCGUCUGAUUAGGCAGUUGGCGAGGUAACGGCCCACCAAACCUACGAUCAGUAGCCGGUCUGAGAGGAUGAACGGCCACACUGGAACUGAGACACGGUCCAGACUCCUAUGGGAGGCAGCAGUGGGGAAUCUUCCGCAAUGGGCGAAAGCCUGACGGAGCAACGCCGCGUGAGUGAUGACGGCCUUCGGGUUGUAAAGCUCUGUGAUCGGGGACGAACGGUCCGUAAGUCAAUACCUUAUGGAAGUGACGGUACCCGAAUAGC
rnacentral:rRNA from 1 species